AUUGAACGCUGGCGGCAGGCCUAACACAUGCAAGUCGAACGAGUGGCGGACGGGUGAGUAAUGUCUGGGAAACUGCCUGAUGGAGGAGGAUAACUACUGGAAACGGUAGCUAAUACCGCAUACCAUCAGAUGUGCCCAGAUGGGAUUAGCUAGUAGGUGGGGUAACGGCUCACCUAGGCGACGAUCCCUAGCUGGUCUGAGAGGAUGAACAGCAACACUGGAACUGAGACAGGGUCCAAACUCCUACGGGAGGCAGCAGUGGGGAAGAUUGCACAAUGGGGGAAAGCCGAAUGCAGCCAUGCCGCGUGUAUGAAGAAGGCCUUCGGGUUGUAAAGUACUUUCAGCGGGGAGGCGUUACCCGAAGAAGAAGCACCGGCUAACUCCGUGCCAGCAGCCGCGGUAAUAC
rnacentral:rRNA from 1 species